UGGUCAGUAUUUAAUUUUUAAAGAAAAACUGUGGGGAAACUAGACAUUUGUUCAGGAAAAGUACCGCCGGACGAAAUAAGCGUACGUUCAAUGGCGUACCAUUGAAAUUUAUAUAUACAUUAAUAAUUUUAACAUUUUGAAUAACUAAAAAAAUGUUUUUUGAAAAAAAAAAGAUUGUACGUCUUCGUGAAUCUAAUAGUCUCUUUGCUACAGUCUGCAGAAUCUAUGAAUAGUAUAACAUAUCAAUAUUAUUAAGUUAACACAAUAGAUUAUUUAUAGAUAUUUAUUUAUGGAAAUAAAAGAUUUCAUAUCCAGCAUCAGGUUUGGUAGGGAAUAAUUUAUUGGCAUAAGCUCCUCAGGAAUGUUAUGUAAAUUAAAUAAAGAAAUACAAAUUAUAUAACAGAGGUCAGGUAUAAAUGGUUAAAUGGUUAGUUUAAAACCUAUUAAUUACGUUUCUGUUAUAUUGAAGUACUGACUAUACUUUCCGUUCGAAAUUCAAUUAGUACACCUACGUAGUUAUAGUAUGCACUGAAGUUUCAAUAUAGUAUCACUUUUCAUGUCGAGAUGAGCGUCGUCUUCCAAAAGACGUUCGCGGUAUUGCGGCUACCGUACAGGUUUUUGCCAGUGGUUA